AUAAACCGACAACCUAAUAGAUGAAUCUAGAAAAAGCAGCCUACUCUACCCCAAUCAUUUCAACAACAGCUGUACUCCACAUUACUAUACGAAUCGUUAUUUCAGUCUUAUCCAGCUUUUCAGUCGAUAGCUUUGCCCAAAAAAUAAACAUUCAUUGCUAUAUUCAUAACUCUCCCAUUCCUCAUCAUCGUCUUCUAGUCUGGUUCUCUUGCCCAACGACCUUCCGAAGGCGAGUCGUGCAAAUUCGGUUCUCUUUGUACCAGGUAAGAGGUGACUCCGCUCUCUAAAGCUUCUUUUGCAAUCUGAUGGGCACGUAUAUUAUCUGAUCGGGGGAUAUGCUUGAACUCUAUUGUUUGAAAAUGAAUGCACAUUUUCUGAAUAUCUCGAAUAAUUGCUCCUAUGACUGAUUUGUCUAUUUCUGUUGUUUAACACUUCCUGAUUACUGUCAUUGAAUCCCCUCUGAUUUGUAAUUCACAAAAACCCAAUAAAAUCCCUAACCGAAUUGCUUCCAAUCCUGCAUAUGCUUCUGCCGCGAACGGAGAUGGCACAUUAUUGUGAAGGACCGACUUUGAUGCCAGAAGUUCAUCCCUACAGCCCCAAACCACCACUCCAGAGGCAGAUCUGGAAGUUCGCUUGUCAAACGCAGCGUCGAAAUAUAUCUUAAUCAUUGUUGUCUUCUUGUGAUAAAUAUCCGCAUAUGUACUAGCCGAUUUCUGGAAUACCAUAUUAGCUAUAGAGCAUAGCAAAAGAGUCGACUCUGCUCCUUAGUUCACUACAGAAGUACCCAGGACAUUGUCUAAAUAUGUGCGAGUAGUCUUCAUCCCCUAAACAACCGCGGGGGCAGCAAGCAUUUAUGAGCACCCUUCUGCUCCUAAGGUUUACAAGCUUGGGCAAAUAAUUCUAGGAGAUACACCAAAUUGUAAUUGUGAUUUUUGUAAGAAGUUGUAGGCUCCAAAGUUUGCUGUAAAUUUUUUUUUAAUUCGGUUGUAAUAUAAUGCUACUAGGAUUUAGUGAAUAAUCCUGUAAUAGUUUAUAGGUGCUCCAUACGGUGAAUUCCCUAGAUUGUUCUCCCUUCCAGACUUGACAGUCAGCAUAGUUCAUUUCAGCAAGAGGGAUCUGUAAUAUUCUUUGAGCAACCUCAUUCUGAAAGUUCCCACUCUCCAGCAUAGCCCUCUAUAGAGAAGUCCUUUGGAAGCCCAGAUGCUCUUCCAGGUGAAAGAAGGUAACAGAUCUACACGUAACUCUGAACUCUCGACACACAGUAGGAUGAUGAAGUACCAGGAGCGCCGAACAAAUCUAGACAGAAAACAAUAAAACCAGAAUAAAACCUAACGACGCAUACCAGAGGCGGUAGACAGAAACAUGCUAGGGUAGCAGACUUAAAAAAAUAUUAUUUUUGUAAUUCCAAAAUUUAAAUUAUACUUUUUUUGUAAUAUAAUAUCUCUUGAAUUAGUUUAUUAACAAA